GCAUAUCAAUAAGCGGAGGAAAAGAAACCAACAGGGAUUGCCCCAGUAACGGCGAGUGAAGCGGCAACAGCUCAAAUUUGAAAUCUGGCCCCUAGGGUCCGAGUUGUAAUUUGUAGAGGAUGCUUUUGGUGAGGUGCCGCCCGAGUUCCCUGGAACGGGACGCCACAGAGGGUGAGAGCCCCGUCUGGCUGGCCGCCGAGCCUCUGUAAAGCUCCUUCGACGAGUCGAGUAGUUUGGGAAUGCUGCUCAAAAUGGGAGGUAUAUGUCUUCUAAAGCUAAAUAUUGGCCAGAGACCGAUAGCGCACAAGUAGAGUGAUCGAAAGAUGAAAAGCACCUUGAAAAGAGGGUUAAAUAGUACGUGAAAUUGUUGAAAGGGAAGCGCUUGUGACCAGACUUGGGCGCGGCGGAUCAUCCGGGGUUCUCUCCGGUGCACUUCGCCGCGUCUAGGCCAGCAUCAGUUCGUCGCGGGGGAAAAAGGCUUCGGGAACGUGGCUCCUCCGGGAGUGUUAUAGCCCGUUGCAUAAUACCCUGCGGUGGACUGAGGACCGCGCAUCUGCAAGGAUGCUGGCGUAAUGGUCACCAGCGACCCGUCUUGAAACACGGACCAAGGAGUCGUCUUCGUAUGCGAGUGUUCGGGUGUCAAACCCCUACGCGUAAUGAAAGUGAACGCAGGUGAGAGCUUCGGCGCAUCAUCGACCGAUCCUGAUGUUCUCGGAUGGAUUUGAGUAAGAGCAUACGGGGCCGGACCCGAAAGAAGGUGAACUAUGCCUGUAUAGGGUGAAGCCAGAGGAAACUCUGGUGGAGGCUCGCAGCGGUUCUGACGUGCAAAUCGAUCGUCAAAUAUGGGCAUGGGGGGCGAAAGACUAAUCGAACCUUCUAGUAGCUGGUUUCCGCCG
rnacentral:rRNA from 1 species